rnacentral:ncRNA from 1 species
UGUCUUCAGGGCGGGGUGCAAGUCCCCACUGGCGGUACAGUCCGCGACCGGGCGCCUUCGGCGUCCGCUGACCCGGUGCAACUCCGGGACCAACAGUAUAGUCUGGAUGGAAGAAGAUG